rnacentral:misc_RNA from 1 species
UUUGGCUGGCUGGGUGAAAAAUCAUUAGCCAGAUUUGUCUAGACUAAACGGUUCUCUGGUAGGACUACUGUUUUGUCAACAAUGAAAAAUCAAGAUUUCCGCUAAUUUUUUAUCUACUAAAUUAACAAUCUUUAGAAAAAAACUCGUGAAUUGCAAAUUCACAGGACUAAUGCAUAAUAUUCGAUCUAGUGAGUUUUGGCUUGAAGGCGGGAUUGAACCAUUUGAUUUUUCCCGCAAAAUGUUUGAAUAAUAUCAUCGAGAAAACAUAAGUUUUAUGGAGUAUUUCUAUAAGAACUACAGACAAAUUAAUACGGUACUCUAUUAUCUACUGAUCGCAGUUCUUGGCAUUUUAAUGGCCGACCGUGAUUAGGAAAUGAGCAAUAUUUCUCUUGCAUUUCAGCAGUCAAGCGGUUUGGCAGUAUUUUCUGUUUUUAUAAUUAAUUCAUAAUUAUUCAAAAGGAAGAAAACUUGUAAAUGAGAGUUUCAAUAGUGAAGGAAAUUGCUAGUGUUGGCAACUCGAGUGAAUGAUUUUUGGGCGUGAAAAUCCACUGGAUGGUUGAUCUGAUGAAAAUGGAAAUGGAAAUAACCGAAGUGGAAAUGGACGGCUAUGACAGCCAAGGAUGUCUCCAUGAGAUGUUUCGGAGACAAGCGAGGAAAACUCCCGACAAAUAUGCAUGUCAUUAUGUUGGGGUAAGUUUUUGUCUUUUUCAUUUUUUGGACUGUUUGACUAGUCCAGUAUCAAUGAUAGAUAGUUUACAUUCGAAUAUUUAGUACCAGAACUCAUUGAAUUCAAUAAUGAGACACAAUUUCCCAGUUUUUCAACAAUUUCUAUUAGUUAUUGAUAGCAUUUGUUGAAUAUGCAAGUAACUUACAUUGUUAUUGAGGAACGUUUCCAUAUUGCUUUUAAUGUACUUUAAUUCCUUUCCAUUAUUGUUUAUGAGAUAUGCAUAAUUACUAGUUUACUACAUAAUUUUCAUGCAUUUUUAUGAAGAUUAUUUUUCACAAUAAUAAGAAACUUUUUCAAAUUCAGUGUU